GGGAAUUUUCCGCAAUGGGCGCAAGCCUGACGGAGCAAUACCGCGUGCGGGAGGAAGGCUUAUUGGUUGUAAACCUCUUUUGAUAGGGAAGAAGCUCUGACGGUACCUGAGGAAUCAGCAUCGGCUAACUCCGUGCCAGCAGCCGCGGUAAUACGGAGGAUGCAAGCGUUAUCCGGAAUUAUUGGGCGUAAAGCGUCCGCAGGUGGUUGUUCAAGUCUGCUGUUAAAGCGUGCGGCUUAACCGCAUACCGGCAGUGGAAACUGCACGACUAGAGUGCGGUAGGGGUCGGGGGAAUUCCCAGUGUAGCGGUGAAAUGCGUAGAUAUUGGGAAGAACACCGGUCAUGAAGAGUGCUCCGCAAGUGCGAUUAGAUACACUAGUGUCAUGGGAUUGACC
rnacentral:rRNA from 1 species